GGGACUGCCUGUCAUUCCAGGCAGGCCACCUGGAGGCACUGCUGUGGACGGCUAUUCAGUCCAUGUGAUCGCGUGGACCCCGCAAUCACAUGGCCCGGGAGGGCAGGAUCAGCAGCAGGGGGACUGCCUGAAAGUCCCCACAUUACGAUGACUGGCAGGGGAUCGCCAGUGAUCAGGUAAGUGCAUAGGACGGCGUGGACGUACUAUGUCGCCCCCCGGCUUAGGACCGGGUUCCCAAGGACGGCAUAGUACGCCCGCCGUCCUUAAGGGGUUAAAAUAAUAAUAACAACAAAGUAUUUAACCAGGAAAGGAACAGUCAGAUUUCUCUGGUUUUUAAGUAUGCCCUGGGGAUGUUACUCUUGCCCAACAUCUAGGAUGUUACUACCUGCAGGGACAAAUUUAAAUUCACCAGAACUUAAUUAAGCUGUAUUUUUUUUUUUCUGGUAACUAUCCAAUUUUUCAUCAUCCAAACAAUCCCUGUUAUUUAUUUAAUAUUUAUUGUUUCAAUAUUUUACUGAUUAUUUGGUCCACAAUAAAUGUUUGUGUUCGACAGAAAUAGAUUGUUCUGUAUAAAUGGAACAUUAGUUCUCCAAGGUAACCCCACAUGAUUUGUUAACAAAGUCUAACAGUUAAGUAUAACUUUUAAUUGAAAUAUUUUCUGAGAAUCUGGCAACAUGAUAAAUAAGGGUCUCCUUUAACCAAUUUCCUGACUAUCAGGUAUAUUGCACCUGACUGCUAAAGUAUUCCCAAAAUGGAAAGUACAAACAUAUUUUUUUUUUUCCAGUGUAAGCAGCUGAUCUAACAGUCACAGGUGCGAAUGAAGGCUAUGGAGGAGAAACAUCACGCUGCUUAUCACUAUAUUAAAUGCCUUCUGUUUAUUAUUUUUUAGUGCAAACAUGGUUAUUUACUAAACUCCAAGUAACUGUUAAUUAAAAAUCCAAAUG